rnacentral:tRNA from 1 species
AUUAUUUUAGCAAAAAAAUUGCAUUAAAAUUAGAAUUUAAUUAUAUAUCCACCCCGAUAUAAAUAAUA